CUGUCCAGUGGAUUCAAUGGAAGAAUCGAUUAAGUAACUUCAGGAAGAUGAUGAGGCAUAUUAAGAGAAAAAUGAUGGAAUAUGCAGUAUCCAAUCAGAAGGAAGUUGCUUACGAAAAACUAUUCAUUGAACUUCUGCAAAAUAAGGAACAAGAAGAUAUAGGGAUUAAACUUAUCGGCAUCUUUCUGAUGAUAUAUUCUUAGAUUGUGUGGAUAAACCCGAGGUUGCGAAACAACUGCAUGAUGAGUUCCAAGGCUUGGUGUUGGAUGUAAACUGGCAUCCGUUCAAAGUUGUUCAAGUUGACGGGUACCGAUUUAUCAGCUGUCUGAAAACAAUGAAAGGCUAGAAAAACUUAGAGCAUAUGGGGAGGAAGGAGAAGCUGCCAUUAUUGCUGUUAUCGCCCCAAAGAGGGAACUGAUUGAAUUUAACUCGAGGGGCUGUUAUAAGAUUUCCAAAAUUUGGAACUUCGAUGAAUAUAGAGAAGCUAGUACAAGCUAUAAAGACUCGGAGAUAUGAUGACAGAUUUAUUCGUGACACAAUCCGUGCUUAUUUGAAGUUAGAGGUAACAUCAUUCCACAAAAUUCAUGUGUUCCUCCACGAUCGGCUGAACCAAAAAGC